rnacentral:rRNA from 1 species
UACGUAGGGGGCAAGCGUUGUCCGGAAUCAUUGGGCGUAAAGCGCGUGUAGGCGGCUGACUAAGUCCGCUCUGAAAGCCCGGGGCUCAACCCCGGGAGGCGGGUGGAUACUGGUCAGCUCGAGUCCGGAAGAGGAGUGUGGAAUUCCUGGUGUAGCGGUGAAAUUCGUAGAUAUCGGGAGGAACACCAGUGGCGAAGGCGGCGAUCUGGGAAGAUACUGACGCUGAGGUGCGAAAGCGUGGGGAGCAAACAGG